rnacentral:tRNA from 1 species
AGAGACUUAGGAUAAACCAGACCAAGAGCCUUCAAAGCCCUCAGCAGGAGUGAAAGCCUCCUAGUCUCUG